rnacentral:rRNA from 1 species
AUUGAACGCUGGCGGCAGGCUUAACACAUGCAAGUCGAACGAGUGGCGGACGGGUGAGAAAAGCUUGGGAAUCUGGCUUAUGGAGGGGGAUAACGACGGGAAACUGUCGCUAAUACCGCGUACCAUAGGAUGAGCCCAAGUGGGAUUAGGUAGUUGGUGGGGUAGUGGCCUACCAAGCCGACGAUCUCUAGCUGGUCUGAGAGGAUGACCAGGCACACCGGGACUGAACAACGGCCCAGCCCCCAACGGGAGGCAGCAGUGGGGAAUAUUGCGCAAUGGGGGCAGCCUGGCGCAGCCCUGCCGCGUAAAUUGAGAAGGCCUGGGGGUUGUAAAGUUCUUUCGGUAGCGAGGCGUUAACUACAGAAGAAGCACCGGCUAACUCCGUGCCAGCAGCCGCGGUAAUAC